rnacentral:rRNA from 1 species
GAUGAACGCUGGCGGCGUGCCUAAUACAUGCAAGUCGAGCGAACAGAUGAGGAGCUUGCUCCUCUGACGUUAGCGGCGGACGGGUGAGUAACACGUGGAUAACCUACCUAUAAGACUGGGAUAACUUCGGGAAACCGGAGCUAAUACCGGAUAAUAUAUUGAACCGCAUGGUCCAAUAGUGAAAGGCGGUUCUGCUGUCACUUAUAGAGGGAUCUGCGCCGCAUUUGCUGGUUGGUAAGGUAACGGCUGACCAAGGCAACGAUGCGUAGCCGACCUCGGAGGCGGAUAGGCCACCCGGGAACGGAAACGGGGUCCAUACUCCUGCGGGAGGGAGCAGUCGGGAAUGUGACGCAAUGGGCGAAAGCCUGACGGAGCAACGGCGAGUGAGUGAUAAAGGUCUUCGGAGCGUAAAACUCUGUUAUGAGGGAAGAACAAAUGUGUAAGGAAAUAUGGACAUAUUGACGGUACCUGAUCAGAAAGCAACGGCUAACUACGUG